GACGAACGCUGGCGGCGGGCUUAACACAUGCCAGUCGAACGGCAACGUCCUGCUUGUGUGGUGUGCUCGAGUGGCGACCGGGUGAGUAACACGAAAGUAUCCUGCCCUUGACGUUGGGAUAACUUCAGGAAACUGGGGCUAAUACCAGAUAGGAGCUCCUGAUGCCUGGUGGGGGUUGGAAAUUUUCGGCGGUUGGGGAUGUACUCGCGGCUUAUCAGCUUGUUGGUGGGGUAGUGGCUUACUAAGGCUUUGGCGGGUAGCCGGCCUGAGAGGGUGACCGGGCAACUUGGGAAUGAGAUACGGCACAGACUCCUACGGGAGGCAGCAGUGGGGAAUAUUGCACAAUGGGCGGAAGUCGGAUGAAGCAACGCCGCGUGCGGGAUGAUGGACUUCGGGUUGUAAACCGCUUUGGCCGGUGACGAAGCGUGAGUGACGGUAAUGGGUAAAGAAGCACCGGCUAACUACGUG
rnacentral:rRNA from 1 species